CCCUUAGAUGUUCUGAACCGCACGCGUGUUACACUGAUGCAUUCAACGAGCUUUACCUUGGCCGAGAGGCCUGGGAAAUCUUUUUAGCAUGCAUCGUGAUAGGGAUUGAUUAUUGCAAUUAUUAAUCAUGAACGAGGAAUUCCUAGUAAACGCAUUUCAUCAAAAUGCAUUGAUUACGUCCCUGCCCUUUGUACACACCGCCCGUCGCACCUACCGAUUGAGUGGCCCGGUGAAGUCUCGAGAUUGUGGCAAUCUCCUUUAUUGGAGUUUGACUGCGAGAACUUGCCUAAACCUUAUCACUUAGAGGAAGGUGAAGUCGUAACA
rnacentral:rRNA from 1 species